rnacentral:rRNA from 1 species
AUGGCGGAGUUCAAGCACCUUUGCAUGGCCAAGUUCAAGGAAGGCGUCGUGGUGGAGGACAUCAUCCAGGAGCUCACCAAGCUCGCCGCGGAGCUCGACACCGUCAAAUACUUCGGCUGGGGCAAGGACGUGCUGAACCAAGAGGCGCUCACGCAGGGCUUCACCCACGUCUUCGUGAUGACCUUCGCCAGCGCCGAGGACCUGGCGGCGUGCAUGGGCCAUGAGAAGCACUCUGCGUUCGCCGCCACCUUCAUGGCCGCGCUCGACAAGGUCGUCGUCAUGGACUUCCCCUUGGUCUUCGUCAAGCCGGCGCCGCCGCCUGCCUGA